CAUGCCUCCUUGGAGUGUUGGGGGUUAAAGUUUGGAUACUGAAACAUAGGAGUGAAGUCCGAACAUUCUGGCCAAACCAUCUUCUUCCUGUGGAAUCGAAAAUGCAGCAGGCUGGAACCUCGGGCUCCGAAGUGGAGGUAACGUGGGAGGAUCAGCAGAAUAU